AGUGAACGCUGGCGGUAGGCUUAACACAUGCAAGUCGAACGGCAGCCCAGUAUGAGCUUGCUAUUACGGGUGGCGAGUGGCGGACGGGUGAGGAAUACUUCGGAAUCUACUUUUUCGUGGGGGAUAACGUAGGGCAAAUUACGCUAAUACCGCAUCCGACCUACGGGUGAAAGCAGGGGUUCUUGCGACCUUGCGCGAUCGAAUGAGCCGAUGUCGGAUUGGUUAGUUGGUGGGGUAACGGCCCACCAAGGCGACGACCGGUUGCUGGUCUGAGAGGAGGAUCGGCGACACGGGAAGUGAGACGCCGUCCAGACGCCUACGGGAGGCAGCAGUGGGGAAUAGUGGGCAAUAGGCGCGAGCCUUAUCCAACCAUACCGCGUGGGUUGAAGAGGCGCUCGGGUUGUAAAGCCGUUUUUUUGGGAAAGAAAAGCUGCAGGUAGAGACCCCGCUAAACUGACGGUACCCAAAGAAGAAGCACCGGCUAACUACGUG
rnacentral:rRNA from 1 species